CGCGCAGGUGGGAUAAUAAGUCUUUUGUAAAAGUGCGGGGCUCAACCCCGUAAAGCGAUGGAUACUGUUAUUCUUGAGUGCAGGAGAGGAAAGCGGAAUUCCCAGUGUAGCGGUGAAAUGCGUAGAUAUUGGGAGGAACACCAGUGGCGAAGGCGGCUUUCUGGACUGUGUCUGACACUGAGGCGCGAAAGCUAGGGGAGCGAACGGGAUUAGAUACCCCGGUAGUCCUAGCCGUAAACGAUGGGUACUAGGUGUAGGGGGUAUCGACCCCUCCUGUGCCGGAGUUAACGCAAUAAGUACCCCGCCUGGGGAGUACGGCCGCAAGGUUGAA
rnacentral:rRNA from 1 species